GAGUCACCUUCCAUAAGGACUGUAGGUAACUCAACCUCCGGUGUGGCUUGUCUUCUUUGCUUCUACCCUUAGCCACACACGCACCCUUAAUAGCUUCCUUGUUCUUAAGGAUGGUAGCAAUGGUAGACUUAGCGUACUGGUACUGGGACGCUAAGUCACACAAACGCACACCUCGUUCGUGUUUUUCAAUGAUCUCCUUCUUCUGCUCGAUCGUAAUUUUCUUUAAUGUCUUCUUAGGCUUAACACUAGCCCGUGGUGGGUCUUUUUCGGUCCCAUAAUAGCAAAAGUACACUCAAUAUGGUCCAAAAUGUCUAUCAAACACAAACCACGUCCGCACUCAACGAAAGGGAGGGGACGAACUGGGACGCCGUGAGCGUGCGUCAGCUUCUCGUGGCGCUGUUCGACCGCGUGGUUUGGUUCGUCCGCUGAAAACUAGUUCGUCAGCAGAGACUAUAUGCUCGCGAAUUUAAUGUUCUUGAGGCGAAAAGUUCGUGAGCUUAAGCGUUCGUGAGCUGAGGUAUCACUGUAUGUAUAUAUAUAUAUAUAUAUAUAUAUGUAUAUAUUGAAAAUUACAUGCAAAGCAAAUGAGGUGCUCGAAAAAUAAUUUUGACCCAUUAUAAAAAUAUAUUAUUUUGUUCAUUUCAUUCAUUUUUGUUGGUUUUAAUGCUUUACAACUUUAAUAUAUGUAGGAAAGUCAAUUCUAUGCAAUGACACUUUUCGGCCACCAGGGGGUGGGGGGGCUUUGCCCCUCUGGCCCGCGCUUAAAAUCCGCUUAUGGUCCUUUCCUAUUCAUUUGGGGACAUUCUUGAGUGACUUCCUAUUCAGUCACCCAAAAUCAACAGGAAGUGACACAAAAAUGCCCCCAAAUCAACAGAAAGUGACCCAGAUUCUUCAGGAAAUUACCCAAGAUGUGUGGUAUUGGAGUGGGAACGAUAGGAUUUUCUUCGAUUUGAUGUUGGACUCACAGGUUUAUCCUUGAUGGUGGGACUGGAGACGCACAGGUAGAGCUUGCCGUCCUCUUCAAUGCAAGCUUCGAUGAGAGCCUGCACUGACGUUUCCUCCUGGAACAGCAGGAAGGCGUAGCCUUUGGGCGGGAAGUAGGACUUGCUCUCGGCUUUGUGCGGCCAAUCCACCACCAGGUGACCGAAGCGUCGGAAGCUGGAGGUGAUCUCGUCUGAGGGAGAGAACGCAAAUUCACAAACUGACCGACGGAUGAAGUCCGGUCGCUCUGACCUUCAUCGAUGUCAGGUGGCAACCCGCCCACAAAGACCUUGCGGGAGAAGCGCUCGAUGCAUUCUCCGUUCUGAUGCGGGAAGAUGGCCGAGCUGAGAACCCCCGGGUUGGCGUGCCCGUCUUCCAGCAGAUUGUCGUCGAUAGGGAAAAGAGACGAGCGCCCUGGAGGAGGAGAUAAAAGGACUUCAAAUGAUGAUUACCAUUGAGCAUGAGGAGCCCGUCGGCCGCCGGGUUCAAGCAUCCCAUUAAGCCUGGACAGAAAAAAAGAACACACAAAAAAAUUACUUGAGGAAUGAUCAACAAGGUGGACAAAGUGGGAAGUGGUGCAUACUAAAAGGGAGAGAGUACAAAAAAACAAUCAAGAAGAAUUGGUCAGAUUCUUCUGCCAGCCAAUCUUUGUUGCUAGGCAGAAUUUGUGGUGCAAUAAUUGGAAAUUGUGGGCUUGAAAAAAUAACUUCAUUAGUCAAAAAUGACAAA